rnacentral:rRNA from 1 species
UACAUGGGGUGCAAACGUUGCUCGGAAUCAUUGGGCGUAAAGCGCGCGUAGGCGGUUAUCUAAGUCGGAUGUGAAAGCCCUCGGCUUAACUGAGGAAGUGCAUCCGAAACUGAAUAGCUAGAGUACGAAAGAGGGUCGCGGAAUUCCCGGUGUAGAGGUGAUAUGCGUAGAUAUCGGGAGGAACACCUGUGGCGAAGGCGGCUUUCUGGGCCCUACCUGACGCUGAGACGCGAAAGCGUGGGGAGCGAACCGGGAUUAAGAAACCUAGUACGUCCAG